rnacentral:rRNA from 1 species
GAACUAAGUUUCAACAACGGAUCUCUUGGCUCUCGCAUCGAUGAAGAACGCAGCGAAAUGCGAUAAGUAAUGUGAAUUGCAGAAUUCAGUGAAUCAUCGAAUCUUUGAACGCACCUUGCGCUCCUUGGUAUUCCUUGGAGCAUGCCUGUUUGAGUAUCAUGAA